rnacentral:sRNA from 1 species
CCAGCAUUUAGUCCGGGGCGAAAAGCCGGACACCUUCACCGGCCUGAUGCUGGCACCUUUUCAUGAAGG